CGAAAGCCUGACGGAGCAACGCCGCGUGUGGGAAGAAGGCUCUUGGGCUGUCAACCACUUUUCUCAGGGAAGAAGAUCUGACGGUACCUGAGGAAUCAGCCUCGGCUAACUCCGUGCCAGCAGCCGCGGUAAUACGGAGGAGGCAAGCGUUAUUCGGAAUUAUUGGGCGUAAAGCGUCCGCAGGGGGCUCAUCAAGUCUGCUGUCAAAGGUCGGAGCUCAACUCCGGUUCGGCAGUGGAAACUGGAUAGCUAGAGGUCGGUAGGGGCAAAGGGAAUUCCCAGUGUAGCGGUGAAAUGCGUAGAGAUUGGGAAGAACACCGGUGGCGAAAGCGCUCUACUGGGUCGCACCUGACCCUCAGGGACGAAAGCUAAGGGAGCG
rnacentral:rRNA from 1 species